GUGGGGAAUAUUGGACAAUGGGCGAAAGCCUGAUCCAGCCAUGCCGCGUGUGUGAAGAAGGUCUUCGGAUUGUAAAGCACUUUAAGUUGGGAGGAAGGGCAGUAAGUUAAUACCUUGCUGUUUUGACGUUACCGACAGAAUAAGCACCGGCUAACUCUGUGCCAGCAGCCGCGGUAAUACAGAGGGUGCAAGCGUUAAUCGGAAUUACUGGGCGUAAAGCGCGCGUAGGUGGUUCGUUAAGUUGGAUGUGAAAGCCCCGGGCUCAACCUGGGAACUGCAUCCAAAACUGGCGAGCUAGAGUACGGUAGAGGGUGGUGGAAUUUCCUGUGUAGCGGUGAAAUGCGUAGAUAUAGGAAGGAACACCAGUGGCGAAGGCGACCACCUGGACUGAUACUGACACUGAGGUGCGAAAGCGUGGGGAGCAA
rnacentral:rRNA from 1 species